CCGGCCAACAUUGCCCUUAGCGGAUAUCUUUGCCCGAACACGAAAAAUAACUAAAAUCAUGAAUUUUAAAUAAAUGUAUAAAGCUGACAACAUUUUUUAAUAGUUUCGUUGUUAAGUUCACUCAGUCGUCGGCGAGACAUGAUAGAAGCAGGACCAAUGCAGGAGUGAAGUGGUGCCAAAAUCUUGUUUUACGUUUUUACACAUUGUCAGCGUACGACAUCACUCAGUAUGGGAAGGCCUGUGAAAAGAAGAAAUAGGAGAAUCCUCGGUUCUCGUCCCUAUAAAAAUUAUUCAGAAGAGAACUAUUGUACUUGAAUGAUUAGUAAUAAUAAAAUAAUUGACUGAUUAUUAACAAUAAAAGAGUUUACAUUUAAA